CUAUGGUACUGAUAGUUUUCCUCUGCUCAUAGAACUUAUAUACCUUCUUUGAUAUCAUUACUCCAAUUUUCAUUUACAGAAUUGCAGUUUUUUCAUGACCUGACAUGUCUUCAUUCCCGAUGUAUGGAAGUUGCAGUGGCAUGCCCUUCUCCGGCCACAGGAAUUAGCAAUCUUGAGGCUAGAGGCAUGAUCUUCAAAAAGCUGAGAUAAUAGCAGGAAUAACUUCUUUUGAUCCAGGAAGUACAUGUGCAAGAUUGCUGUGUGGGUAUAUUGCAUGAUGCUAAGGUUUGGCUUACUAAUGAUCCUGUCACCCAAGUAGUGAACAUAGUACCCAAUAGGUACUUUUCUAACCCUUUCCUCCCUGUGUCCCUCCUUCAAUUUGGGAUCCCCAGUGUUUGUUGUUCCCAUCUUGUGUCCAUGUGUAUUCAAUGUUUAGCUCCCACCUGUAAGUAAGAACAUGUGGUAUUUGGUGUUUAUGCAUUAAUUUACUUAAGAUAAUGGUCCAGCUGCAUUCAUGUUGCUGAGAAGGACAUGAUUUUGUUAUUUUGUAUGGCUAUGUAGAUUCCAUGAUGUAUAUAUACAUUCUCUUUCUCCAAUCCAAUGUUGAUGUACACCUGGGUUGAUUCCACGUGUUUUACUAUUGUUAAUAGUGCUGUGCUAAACAUAAAAAUGCAGGUGUCUCUAUGGGAGAAUGAUUUAUUUCCUUUUGGGUAAUAAAUUCCCAGUAAUGAGAUUGCAAGGUGAAAUGGUAGUUCUGUUUUUUGUUCUUUGAGAAAUCUUCAAACUCCUUUCCACAGUGGCCGAACACAUUUAAAUUCCUACCAAAAAUGUAUAGGUGUUCCCUUUUCUCUGCAACCUCUUCAACAUCUGUUAUUUUUUAAAUUUUUUAUAGCCAAUCUGACUUGUAUGAGAUGGUAUUUAAUCGUGGUUUUGAUUUGCAUCUCUCUGAAUAUUAGUGAUGUUUGUUAGCUGUUUAUAGGUCUUUUAAGAAGUGU
rnacentral:lncRNA from 1 species